GUCGGUCAGCUCCUCCCGGGUCUGGCCCGGCUGGGACGCACGGCCCUGCGCGUCGCCCGGGAGGAAACCCCGGGGUUCCGCUGCGCUCCACUCGGGACGCCGGCUCCCCGAUCCCUGCGUCUUUUCUUUUUUUACAGAGUUCCUCUUUCUAACUUGACUCCCCCACUCACCCCCAACUGGCUGCCUGGCCUCUGCGGAAUCUCUGUUGCCCUGGAUUUCUUAAAGGUUUUAAAGCCUGUCUCCAACUUGGUAUUUAUUUAUUAAUUCUGAUGUCUAAAGACUGUGAUCAAAGCUAUACCGAGCUCUUGGCAGCGGUCAGCCAGGCGCUGUGGGGCACUAAGAAGUUCAAAGGAUUAUUACAAAGCAGCAAGGAGCGAGGAGGUGGACAAACACCCGCUCCUUGAAGACCAGCUGCGGGUGACGGCCGCUUACAGUCCAGGCUCUGGUGACCAGCAAGGGCAUGGAUCAAGGCUGCAUGGAUAUCCUUCUCUGCAGGUUCAAAAUACAGCUUCACUCCUUUCUUGGCAAAGUGGGCGGAUUUCCUGACCUUGGCUGCAGUUUUGAGCACCUGAGGUCUUUUCUGAACACCCAGACUGAGUUGACAAGAUAGACCUCACUUUCAACCAUAUUAUCUUGGAAGAAGACCCUGAACCUCAGAUGACACUCCAGCCCCAGCCAACACUGUGAUUUCAGCCUGUGAUACUCUUAAGCAGAGAGCCUAGACUGCCUGGACUUCUGAUCUACAGAACUGUGAGAUAUAAGAAGAAGAGAGGGAAAGGAGAUUGUCAACGAUGGGAGGAAGCCUCCAGAAAAACCCCAACAGUACAAGUUCAGAGAGUUUCCAGACUGGUGAACACAUCUGUGUGUCAGGAGGAUGGGGCACUCCAACCCUAUGAGGACAAAAGCUCCUGCAUCAGGACCCUUCCAGACCUUGCCAUAUAUAUUUCUUCAUUUGGUUGUUCAUCUACAUUCUUCAUGAUAUCCUUUAUUAAACACUAAACUGGUAAACAUAUGUGUUUUCCUGAGUUCUAUGAGCUGUUCUAGCAAAUGAUGGAAUCCAAGAUGGGGUGGUGUGCAUCUCCAGUUGGUAGUCACAUGGGACACAUGUAGGCAACCAGGGGACCUAUUAUUUGUGACUGAUGUCUAGACUGGGUAACAGUCUUAUAGGACUGAGUCCUUAACCUGCACUAACUUUGGUUAUUAUCAGAA